CCGUGGCGGCGUGCUUACACCACUCGCAAGUUAAACGGUGAAAGGGGAGCUUGCUCCCCUGGAUCAGUGGCGAACGGGUGAGUAACACGUGGGCAACCUGCCCCAGACUCUGGGAUAACUCCUCGAAAGAGGCGCUAAUACCGGAUACGAGCCCUGCAGGCAUCUGCGGGGUUGGAAAGUUUUUUCGGUCUGGGAUGGGCCCGCGGCCUAUCAGCUAGUUGGUGAGGUAGUGGCUCACCAAGGCGACGACGGGUAGCCGGCCUGAGAGGGCGACCGGCCACACUGGGACUGAGACACGGCCCAGACUCCUACGGGAGGCAGCAGUGGGGAAUAUUGCGCAAUGGGCGAAAGCCUGACGCGGCAACGCCGCGUGCGGGAUGACGGCCUUCGGGUUGUAAACCGCUUUCAGCAGGGAAGAAGCGAAAGUGACGGUACCUGCAGAAGAAGCACCGGCUAACUACGUGCCAGCAGCCGCGGUAAUACGUAGGGUGCAAGCGUUGUCCGGAUUUAUUGGGCGUAAAGAGCUCGUAGGCGGUUAGUCACGUCGGAUGUGAAAACCCAGUGCUUAACACUGGGCCUGCAUUCGAUACGGGCUGACUAGAGUGUUGUAGGGGAGACUGGAACUCCUGGUGUAGCGGUGAAAUGCGCAGAUAUCAGGAAGAACACCGGUGGCGAAGGCGGGUCUCUGGGCAACUACUGACGCU
rnacentral:rRNA from 1 species